UGCUAUCGUCUAUCGUUAAUUCGUUAUCCUUAUCCCCUCACCUCUUCUAGUAGUGGCUAGUGGAAACUGUUUGGGUUGUGAAAAAAAAACGCUAUAUUUGAACAUAAAGAUUUUUUUUAUUAGCGUGUUCUUCGUUUUCACAAAGGCCACUUUUGCGGGAUGGGAAUGGCAUCUAAAAGGAAAAAAACAAUGAGUAGUGAAGGUCCAGUUAAGAUUGUAGGAAUUAACCAGGAGUAUGUCUGCAUCAUUUCUUGUUGAUGGAUGGAUGGAAAAAAGAACAAUUCACUGAUGUUACAUUUUUUUGCCAGUCUCCAGAUGACAAUAAUGAACAACACAGCUUACAAAACAAGCUCCGUGCUAACAGAAGUGUUCUUGCUGCUGCCAGCCGGUUCUUUUCCAUCCUGUUACCUGAUUGUGAGUUAGACCUAGAUGUCUGCAUCUCAAUU